AAUAUGCGAGCAACACUACUCUUGCGCUUUGGACCAUUAUGAAAUAAAAUAAGGGUUACCUGAAAAUAAGCACGCGAUAUCACAACACCCGAUCACUGAGGCGGCUAGUAAGUGACUAAUGGGCCAGGGAGUGUCUGCAGCAUGGAGACGCUGGACAAAGGGAUGAUUCACAUCCAGGUUGGGACAGAGCUGGACAGCACAAGAUUUCAUCAUGCUACUCAGAACGGCAUGCAAUUUAAAACUUAUAAAUUGUUUAUUUCUUGAAUUUUGUACUUAACAUUUUCAGACCACAUUUGACCAUAGGUAACUGAAAUCGUAGAAAGUGAAACUGCAGAUAAUAAGAACCACUAUAUAACAUUAGGGAUAUUAUUUAGCUUCUCCAAGCAUUGGCUUCUUGAUAGCACUUCUGUUGCAAAGAUAAAAUGAGAUAAUACAUACAAAAUAUUUAGCAAAAGACCUGACACAUAGUAGGUGCUCACUAAAUACUGUAUUAGAUUCUUUUCUCUCCCUUUCAAAACAUAAAUAUCUCCUUCAUGCAGGGAUAAGCCUUAUUCUUAAGGCAGCCUUCCUUCAUACCUACCUAAAAUUAGCAACACUAAAGAAAUAAGAAACUUGUUGGGAAACAGAGGUAAGCCUGGUAACUUCAGAGUAUGAGGUAAUUCAGGCAGAGCAUCAGAAAGCUCUAGAAUUCUGGGAAAAAGCAGGAGAGAGUCACAAAGCAGUGAUGAUCAUUACAGUCGUUCCACAUACAAGCUGGAAGUACUACAGGCAUAGAGGGAAGAGUACCUGUGUCUGUAACAACGUAAAAGGUCACAAGCUUCUGCUUUGCCAGUCUAGGUUCUGGAGGCCAGGAAGUCCAACAUGAAGGUGACAGCAGAUCCAGUGUCUGUACUUACACCUGGAGAGUUGGACUACUGGGUCGGAGUUGAAGAAAAUUUUACUUUUAAUUUUAUAACCUUUCCCAUUUUUUACCAUGAGCAUGUAACUUUUGUAACUACUUUUAUAAUAAAAUGAAAUAAAUGAAGUGGCACAGUGAAAUUUAAUAUAUGCUAUGUGAAUGAAUAAUAAACUAGGUAAGUUUCAUCAAAUGGGCAUAUGGGAAUAAAAGCCAGUUCUAAAGCAAUUACAAAGUAAUGCUGCUGAUAAAAGUGGACUGUGUAAAGGUAAACAGUGUCACAGCAACCAUUACACAUUGCAGGUUGACUCUCCAAUAUUCUUUCCCGUAGAUCCGAGGUCAAGUUUCAAACUGUCUAAACUAAUACAUGGUAAUGGCAUCCUUCUGCCAAAUGACUGGUUCAGGAGCUGCCAGCCCUAAGUUAAAGUUCUGGAAAUGCUGUGGAAAAUCUGAAAAUGUAAUGGGGAAUAAACAAGAGAUUAAUGAAAGCAUUGUAUCUAAUCAGCAAACUUCUGUGACUCUCCAUAUCACCAAGCUAAGUGACAGCUGGGGAAAGGCACAAACAGACCACAACAAUGGAUUUAUCCAGAAAUACAACAAGAGGCUGAAAAAAACAGUAUUAGGCAUCAGUGAAAUUCCUAAUUAUAAAUAAGUUUGAGAAUGGGUACAGACAAACCUAGAGAGAGACCUUAUGAAAUGAGGAAACAAGAAAGCAUGUCUAUGUACUUGGAGGAAAAGGGAGGGAGUCAAAGGACCAGGUGAUGAGCAUUAUGUAACAGUAUGUUUGUUAGAACAAGAAUCACAGAGGAGGUUAAAUCAACCAGAGACUAGUUCUGCUGGUGAAAUCUCAGCAAGAGAAUCACUCCUACUACUAAGAUCCUAGAAAAACUGAAGUAGAGUGCUGAUGUUACUGAAGCUGAAGAAGUUAAGAACAAUGAGGCCAUGUUGGAUGGGCCAACAUGAAUGUGAAUGAAGAUAAAGUUUUCAAAGGACUCAGCUCUCUUUAUUUCAUCUUUCUCUGUGGCAAAGUUAAAGAAAGGCCAGUAUAAUUAGAUGACCUGAUGUCAAAAGAGAAUAAGUUAUCUAUUGAUGGUGAUAAUGUUUAAAAUUUUCUCUGAGUUGGGAAGGCCUAGGUUCCUAUCCUGAUAAGUUCACUUCUUAGAUGUAUACCAUUGAAGUUACAAGUUACUUAACUUCUCUAGACAACAUUUGAUCAAUAAAAGUACCUACUUCAGAAGAUUAUUGUAAAGAUUACUUGAGAUGAUGCAUAUAAAGCGUUAAACAGUGCCUGGCACACGAUUGAUAAUAAGUAUUAGUUACUCUUACCAAAAAUGGUCAAGUUGUAGCAGUACAGGUCAAGUCCUAUGCCAACUGCCCCUUUUUGCCUAGUGGGUUACAAGAGCCAAAGAGAUAGAAAAAAGUAUAGAUGACUGUAGGAGAAGCCCUGUAUCUGGGGAAAGAAAGCUUUUAGUUAAGGUGAAACACCUGAAUAAGCGCUUGGCAAAUAUAAAAUAAUUUGCACCCAAAGGGGCAGAAAUCCAUGAGUAUAAUGGAAUGAUUAUUGCCCUAAAAACUCUCAAACCUAAAUAAUGCAUCUCUCUUUAAAUAACUUCUGACAGUAGUGCGUGGAAAAAGUAGAGUUAAAACAUAAAUAAAACCAAGCUGGGAGAAAAUCAAUCAACCAAAUACAAAGGUGAUACUGGUUCACUGGUUAAGAAACUAGCAUUAGUGUCUAUUACUGAGGACGAAUGAAAAGAAACUAGCCAGAAAACUUGGCAAAGUUUGUUUCUAAAUUUAUAGAUGCAAAUUUACCGAUUAUGACCUCUUUCUCCAAUGUAACAAGGGGAGUUAUCCGUAUCUUGAUAACCUUAAGUGCUAUCAAAAAGCAGGUUUCACUAAGUGUCAAAAUGCAAAAAUUGGUAACAAGUUAAUUAUUUUACAUUUCUGAGGCUUCUUUUCUAUUCAAAGUAAUGCAUUUUCAUUGUAGAAAACUAGAAUGAAAAAGUAUACAGUUGUAAGGGGAAGCAAUCUCAUUACACAAAAAUAAAAAAAACAUUUUGCAUGGACUUUCAGUCUUUUGACUGCAUUUUUCAUUAUAUCAUAAGGUUAUAUUUUCUAUACAAUGUAUGUCUAUUUUAUCACAUAAUACAUUUUUUAUAUCUAUUUUAUCACAUAAUACUACGUCAUAAGCACUCUAUCUGCUUUACUAUUAACAGUUACUAAACUAAGGGUGACGACUUUCUCUAUAAAGGCCUUUACGGUUUCAGUCAACUUAUUUUAGUAAUAAAUACGCUCCUUAUGUAAUUUCACAAGUUUAGGGUCAACUUUUAGGCCCCGGACCAUGAGCAGCUUUUCAGAACUUCAUGUGCAGCCCUAGAAGCUAAUGUAAAGGGAAAAACUGCCAUUAUAUAUUUGAUUUAUCCAAUGAGUUAUGCUACUUUGAAAGUAAAUUUCACAUAUACAAAAAGGACCAAUAAUAUUAAAAAUUGUAUUCCUGUUUCUAUACAUGAUGCUAAUUUUUCCAUUCUACCUUUGGUCAGGUGGUCACCUCAAGAUGAUCUGAUGUGAUUUAUUUUUCCAUGUACAAGCUGUAGAGUCACAACGUGACAUUUUGUAGAGGGCCUAUAGCUGUAGAUUUUCUUCUCUGUACAAAUAAGUCUGAAACUAAACUUAAUUACCUUCUAAAAUAACAUACACAAUUUUAUCAAACAGGUGAUG
rnacentral:lncRNA from 1 species